UGACUUUCUAGGAAUAUGUCCAUUAGGUCUAUUUUUUUAAAAAUCACAUAUGAAUCAAUGUUGUGAUUUCUGUUUAAAUAUAUAAGAUCUUGUUUUUGUUUUUAUUUACCCUCCAUAGAUUUCUAAAAACGUUUAGCGUUUGAUUUUCCAAUUUGUCUUAAUACUUUGGUCUUUCUUGUCAUUUCCCAUUAGCAAGUACUUCCAUCACUUGGAAAAUUCAUAACCAGAUAAUAGAGAGACGAUGGACAGCCGUUGCACCAUAUCCGAAAUCAGCUUCUUCACCACCUAACAACAACCCACAACGCUCAUACAGAUCCAAGCCAGAAGGAAACAAGCGAGAGAUGAAGCGGAACACUAACAACCGGUGAUUGAGACCCAGAAGACCAAGACCCAGCGAAUCUUGCAGACAUCCAAUGAUCCAAACAUCUCUAAACCAAGGGAAAAACAGCACAUGCAAAGUCUCUUACUCUAGAUCUGAAAAUCAAGAACUAGGUCUCAUUAAAGAGAAUACCAAGCUGUAAAAAUGAC
rnacentral:lncRNA from 1 species